UUGCUCUCUCUGGAGACCCUCGGCGGUGAUUGCUCUGUUCUGACUUGGAGUAAGGAUGACUUUUCGGGCCACAGAUAGUGAAUUUGACCUCACAAAUAUUGAAGAAUAUGCUGAAAAUUCUGCACUUUCAAGACUGAAUAAUAUAAAAGCCAAACGAAGACUGAGUUAUGUGACAUCCACAGAAAAUGAAUCUGAUACACAAAUCCUAACGUUUAGGCACAUUACAAAAGCUCAGGAGAAGACAAGAAAACGACAGCAGCCUAUAAAACUAGAGCCUUUGCCAGUGCUAAAAGUCUACCAAGAUCAUAAGCAGCCAGAAUACAUACAUGAACAGAACCGAUUUCAGUUAAUGACUGCAGGAAUCAUUAAACGUCCAGUAAGCAUAGCAAAAAAAAGUUUUGCCACAUCAUCUACUCAGUUUCUUGAGCAUCAAGAUGCUGUGAAAAAAAUGCAGAGUUGUAAGUUAUGAGAACAUCAGUAAAAAUGACUACUAUACUAUUAGCCAAAGGGCAGUAACACACAUUUAUAAUGAAGACAUUGAAUUUAUCGAA
rnacentral:sRNA from 1 species